AUGAACGCUAGCGACAGGCUUAACACAUGCAAGUCGAGGGGCAGCACAGGUAGCAAUACCGGGUGGCGACCGGCGCACGGGUGAGUAACGCGUAUGCAACUUGCCUAUCAGAGGGGGAUAACCCGGCGAAAGUCGGACUAAUACCGCAUGAAGCAGGGAUCCCGCAUGGGAAUAUUUGCUAAAGAUUCAUCGCUGAUAGAUAGGCAUGCGUUCCAUUAGGCAGUUGGCGGGGUAACGGCCCACCAAACCGACGAUGGAUAGGGGUUCUGAGAGGAAGGUCCCCCACAUUGGUACUGAGACACGGACCAAACUCCUACGGGAGGCAGCAGUGAGGAAUAUUGGUCAAUGGCCGAGAGGCUGAACCAGCCAAGUCGCGUGAGGGAUGAAGGUUCUAUGGAUCGUAAACCUCUUUUAUAAGGGAAUAAAGUGCGGGACGUGUCCCGUUUUGUAUGUACCUUAUGAAUAAGGAUCGGCUAACUCCGUGCCAGCAGCCGCGGUAAUACGGAGGAUCCGAGCGUUAUCCGGAUUUAUUGGGUUUAAAGGGUGCGUAGGCGGCCUUUUAAGUCAGCGGUGAAAGUCUGUGGCUCAACCAUAGAAUUGCCGUUGAAACUGGGGGACUUGAGUAUGUUUGAGGCAGGCGGAAUGCGUGGUGUAGCGGUGAAAUGCAUAGAUAUCACGCAGAACCCCGAUUGCGAAGGCAGCCUGCCAAGCCAUUACUGACGCUGAUGCACGAAAGCGUGGGGAUCAAACAGGAUUAGAUACCCUGGUAGUCCACGCAGUAAACGAUGAUCACUAGCUGUUUGCGAUACACUGUAAGCGGCACAGCGAAAGCGUUAAGUGAUCCACCUGGGGAGUACGCCGGCAACGGUGAAACUCAAAGGAAUUGACGGGGGCCCGCACAAGCGGAGGAACAUGUGGUUUAAUUCGAUGAUACGCGAGGAACCUUACCCGGGUUUGAACGCAUUCGGACCGAGGUGGAAACACCUUUUCUAGCAAUAGCCGUUUGCGAGGUGCUGCAUGGUUGUCGUCAGCUCGUGCCGUGAGGUGUCGGCUUAAGUGCCAUAACGAGCGCAACCCUUGCCACUAGUUACUAACAGGUAAAGCUGAGGACUCUGGUGGGACUGCCAGCGUAAGCUGCGAGGAAGGCGGGGAUGACGUCAAAUCAGCACGGCCCUUACAUCCGGGGCGACACACGUGUUACAAUGGCGUGGACAAAGGGAAGCCACCUGGCGACAGGGAGCGAAUCCCCAAACCACGUCUCAGUUCGGAUCGGAGUCUGCAACCCGACUCCGUGAAGCUGGAUUCGCUAGUAAUCGCGCAUCAGCCAUGGCGCGGUGAAUACGUUCCCGGGCCUUGUACACACCGCCCGUCAAGCCAUGGGAGCCGGGGGUACCUGAAGUCCGUAACCGCGAGGAUCGGCCUAGGGUAAAACUGGUGACUGGGGCU
rnacentral:rRNA from 1 species